rnacentral:tRNA from 1 species
GCCUUCAUGGUGUAACGGUAGCACACUCGGCCUGUAUCCGAGAGGUCCAGGUUCGAAUCCCACAGAAAGCA